rnacentral:lncRNA from 1 species
CUCCUCCCUCGUCCCUCCUGGGCCAGGCUGCCCCUGGGGACCCAGCUCUGCGUUUACAGGAGCAGCCCCCUUGCUCCUCCUGCUUUUUGGGGAGAAAUGAGUUCAUCUGGGCACACAUCCCCUCUGCGCAGAGCUACGGGUGGGUUGUGCCGGUCCUUUUAUCUCCAGGGUUUGUGAGGGGGCAGGAUCCCGCCGAGCCCCACGCCGAGCUGAGCUCAGGACCAUGGGCACCUGGACCAGUGCAGCUCCAACCCCAUCCUGGGUGCGAGCCCAGCCUGUCCCAGGAGGGACUCGUCCCUGGAGGAGGAGAAGGAGCUCGGUGGCUGCUGGAGGAGGAGAAGGAGUGCGGUGGCUGCUUUCGUGACCUUUGUGACCCCCCAGGUCAGCCCUGCUCACGCCUGCUGGCUCGGUUCCACUGCCCCGAGCCACAUCGCCCUUCCUUCUGCAGGCCUCGUCAUCAUCCCCAGCGUGCCCAAAGCCUGGGAGCUCACCGACUAGGAGCUGGGGAACCUGCCUUGCCCAGCCCAUGGCUGAAGGAUGCUCCAUCCCUGCCCCUAACCCCAGCUAUGGGGCCAUGCAUUGAAGGGUCCUGGCUGGCAGGGGCUGGAGACGGGCCCAGGAAGGUGACCACCACCACGAUUCGUGCAGCUCCAGGGCACGCUGCUGCAGCCCAGGGCUUCCCCAUUUCCCCUCUUUCUGCUGAUGUUUCCCGGCAGCUGAGCUCUCCCAGCUCACCCAGUUUACUCCUAAAGACACUAAAUCCGCCGGGCGCUGGUGUUGCAACCUGUGUGUCUGCAUCCUGCGUGUACCAGACCCCUGCAGAAUCCUCCCCUUUGGGGUCAGAUGGGUACCUGGCUGUUGUUUUGCAGCAUGAGGGCAGCAGCCUGGAGAGUUUUUAAUAGCUGCAUCCUUCAAAGGCCUCACACCAGCCAAGCUGUGUGGUCCUUGCCUCUCCUGAAAUUCCACUCCGGUUUCAGAUAUAUUGCCCUUAUCCCAAAAACUUGGAGCAUCAGUUGAGGCUGCCAGUUUC